rnacentral:rRNA from 1 species
AGCUUGCUACCUGACCUAGCGGCGGACGGGUGAGUAAUGCCUAGGAAUCUGCCUAUUAGUGGGGGACAACAUUCCGAAAGGAAUGCUAAUACCGCAUACGCCCUACGGGGGAAAGCAGGGGAUCUUCGGACCUUGCGCUAAUAGAUGAGCCUAAGUCAGAUUAGCUAGUUGGUGGGGUAAAGGCCUACCAAGGCGACGAUCUGUAGCGGGUCUGAGAGGAUGAUCCGCCACACUGGGACUGAGACACGGCCCAGACUCCUACGGGAGGCAGCAGUGGGGAAUAUUGGACAAUGGGCGAAAGCCUGAUCCAGCCAUGCCGCGUGUGUGAAGAAGGCCUUUUGGUUGUAAAGCACUUUAAGCGAGGAGGAGGCUACUUAGAUUAAUACUCUAGGAUAGUGGACGUUACUCGCAGAAUAAGCACCGGCUAACUCUGUGCCAGCAGCCGCGGUAAUACAGAGGGUGCGAGCGUUAAUCGGAUUUACUGGGCGUAAAGCGUGCGUAGGCGGCUUCUUAAGUCGGAUGUGAAAUCCCUGAGCUUAACUUAGGAAUUGCAUUCGAUACUGGGAAGCUAGAGUAUGGGAGAGGAUGGUAGAAUUCCAGGUGUAGCGGUGAAAUGCGUAGAGAUCUGGAGGAAUACCGAUGGCGAAGGCAGCCAUCUGGCCUAAUACUGACGCUGAGGUACGAAAGCAUGGGGAGCAAACAGGAUUAGAUACCCUGGUAGUCCAUGCCGUAAACGAUGUCUACUAGCCGUUGGGGCCUUUGAGGCUUUAGUGGCGCAGCUAACGCGAUAAGUAGACCGCCUGGGGAGUACGGUCGCAAGACUAAAACUCAAAUGAAUUGACGGGGGCCCGCACAAGCGGUGGAGCAUGUGGCUUAAUUCGAUGCAACGCGAAGAACCUUACCUGGUCUUGACAUAGUAAGAACUUUCCAGAGAUGGAUUGGUGCCUUCGGGAACUUACAUACAGGUGCUGCAUGGCUGUCGUCAGCUCGUGUCGUGAGAUGUUGGGUUAAGUCCCGCAACGAGCGCAACCCUUUUCCUUAUUUGCCAGCGGGUUAAGCCGGGAACUUUAAGGAUACUGCCAGUGACAAACUGGAGGAAGGCGGGGACGACGUCAAGUCAUCAUGGCCCUUACGACCAGGGCUACACACGUGCUACAAUGGUCGGUACAAAGGGUUGCUACCUAGCGAUAGGAUGCUAAUCUCAAAAAGCCGAUCGUAGUCCGGAUUGGAGUCUGCAACUCGAC